UACGUAGGUAGCGAGCGUUAUCCGGAAUUAUUGGGCGUAAAGGGUGCGUAGGCGGCCUGUUAAGUUUAUGGUGAAAGCGUGGGGCUCAACCCCAUAAAGCCAUAGAUACUGGCAGGCUAGAGUACUGGAGAGGGUAGUGGAAUUCCAUGUGUAGCGGUAAAAUGCGUAGAUAUAUGGAGGAACACCGGUGGCGAAGGCGGCUACCUAGACAGAGACUGACGCUGAGGCACGAAAGCGUGGGGAGCAAAUAGG
rnacentral:rRNA from 2 species